CUUUGCAUGUUGCUGUACGAGUUAAUAUCCUUUGGAGAACAUGAAUAAUUGCACCUAAUGAAACCGAAUCAUCAAACAGAUUCAACCUCAACGAAUGCUAUUACUCCGAAGUAUGAUAUAAUAUCGUUGCACGAUCGUGCGAGUAACAUAGCAGUUGCAUUCAGAACCACGCCACUUAUCGUUAUCGUUGAAACAAAUACGUUAGGCGAGACUUCCUGUGGAACAGUAGUAGCCAACGGUAAACGCUAUAAAUCAACGCUAAACGCAAGAACUCAACAGGAUAUAACUUGAAAUUUAUCAGUAAAU